rnacentral:misc_RNA from 1 species
GAAAUGCGAUAAGUAAUGUGAAUUGCAGAAUUCAGUGAAUCAUCGAAUCUUUGAACGCACAUUGCGCCCCCUGGCAUUCCGGGGGGCAUGCCUGUUCGAGCGUCAUUACACCACUCAAGCCUGGCUUGGUAUUGAGCGCCGCGGCCUGUCCGCGCGCUCCAAUGUCUCCGGCUGAGCCGUCCGUCUCUAAGCGUUGUGAAUAGCGAUCGCUUGCGAGGCCCGGGCGGUUCGACGCCGUUAAACCCCCCAUUUUCUAUGGUUGACCUCGGAUCAGGUAGGGAUACCCGCUGAACUUAAGC